AGCCAUAACUCUCUCACUCACUCU
rnacentral:siRNA from 1 species